UGGGGAAUAUUGGACAAUGGGCGAAAGCCUGAUCCAGCCAUGCCGCGUGUGUGAAGAAGGUCUUCGGAUUGUAAAGCACUUUAAGUUUGGGAGGAAGGGCAGUAAGUUAAUACCUUGCUGUUUUGACGUUACCAACAGAAUAAGCACCGGCUAACUUCGUGCCAGCAGCCGCGGUAAUACGAAGGGUGCAAGCGUUAAUCGGAAUUACUGGGCGUAAAGCGCGCGUAGGUGGUUCAGCAAGUUGGAUGUGAAAUCCCCGGGCUCAACCUGGGAACUGCAUCCAAAACUACUGAGCUAGAGUACGGUAGAGGGUGGUGGAAUUUCCUGUGUAGCGGUGAAAUGCGUAGAUAUAGGAAGGAACACCAGUGGCGAAGGCGACCACCUGGACUGAUACUGACACUGAGGUGCGAAAACGUGGGGAGCAAACAGGAUUAGAUACCCUGGUAGUCCACGCCGUAAACGAUGUCGACUAGCCGUUGGGAUCCUUGAGAUCUUAGUGGCGCAGCUAACGCGAUAAGUCGACCGCCUGGGGAGUACGACCGCAAGGUUA
rnacentral:rRNA from 1 species